rnacentral:rRNA from 1 species
GUGCCAGCAGCCGCGGUAAUACGGAGGGUGCGAGCGUUGUCCGGAAUCACUGGGCGUAAAGGGCGCGUAGGCGGUCUGUUAAGCGUGUGGUGAAAGCUCGGGGCUCAACCCCGAGUCUGCCAUGCGAACUGGUGGACUUGAGCACUGUAGAGGCAGGUGGAAUUCCGGGUGUAGCGGUGGAAUGCGUAGAGAUCCGGAAGAACACCGGUGGCGAAGGCGGCCUGCUGGGCAGUUGCUGACGCUGAGGCGCGACAGCGUGGGGAGCAAACAGGAUUAGAUACCCUGGUAGUCC